AGCAAUAUAUAUAUGUCGGAGAACAGUUCGUGAACACACUUAAGACGACCGCUGCCAGCCCCUUUUCCAUGAAUCACUUCAAAAUCAAUUGGUUUAGUUUUAAGUUCUCACCAAAUUGUAAAGAUAGUGUGAUCGACACAUGUUAAGUACGUAAGACAAAAAACAGCUAAGGGCUGCGACCCUGCAAAGAGUGUGGUUUUUUUAGGGACGCUAUAGGACCCAGCCGAUACGAGGAAGGGUCAGACACACAUUCCUUCAUGGGACACGGUUGCGCGAUCACGCUCAUCUCUUAGGACAAUCCUAAUUGUAAACUAGUGUAGUAUUAACAACUUUUGUAAAAGCUUACAUUACGUUAUUGACUGUUAUCAUUGCGAAUACAAUAUUGUAAUAAACAUGGACAAACAUUGUAGUUCUCAUUACUACCGAUUAUUACCGCGACGACACCCCGACUCCGUCAUCAGAAGUGGGAUUACCUCGUUCGAGUGGACGCUGUGAUCAUGGACGCGAGAAAGUGCGAAUGUUGUUGGAGGUGCAAAAUUCCCCGACGCUAGUACGCGCUUUCAAUAGACUUUGGUGAGCUUUCGUGUAACCAAGAAAUCCUUGAGCGGUACGAAGAUAGUUGGGGUGGACCAGGAGGGGACUGUGCUUCGGAGGUGGCCUGUGCUUCGCGCUCAUCAUGCGCAGCGUUAGCAGCGCCGGUGACGGCGGGUCCUGCGAGCUGUGGAGCCCGUGUUGCGGGUGUGCGCGGCGUGGGACGCUGUAAGAGCCGAUGCAGGCCUCGGAUGACAGCAAGCCUGACUUGCUGGUGAACGACUUGUGGACGUCGGUGCCGCCACAGUCCUUGCCGGAGUUCUACAGCAUAUUGGUCAGUUCCUUUCAUUCUGUUAUAGCUCUGGAGCCGACUUUAUCCUCAAGAGUUCAUUGCAAAAGCGUAAAUACUAGAGUUAAAUUAGUGACAUGGCUUUUGUAAUUCUUUCACGAGCCCGUCUGGCGCCGGACUCUACAACUGGAUGCGCAAGGCGCUCGAGCGGAGGAGCCUGAGCGUGUGGUACGCGCUGUGUGACCGCAAGUUGUACGGGUGCGCGCCGGUAUUGGUGGCGCGUCGCCGAACUGCUGUGUACGAGCUGCUGCGGCCCCGGCUGUGUACGAGCUGCUGCGGCCCCGGCUGUGUACGAGCUGCUGCGGCCCCGGCUGUGUGCGAGCUGCUGCGGCCCCGGCUGUGUACGAGCUGCUGCGGCCCCGGCUGUGUGCGAGCUGCUGCGGCCCCGGCUGUGUACGAGCUGCUGCGGCCCCGGCUGUGUGCGAGCUGCUGCGGCCCCGGCUGUGUGCGAGCUGCUGCGGCCCCGGCUGUGUGCGAGCUGCUGCGACAGCAAACCUGGUGAGCGCCUGGUGAGCGCCAGAGGUGGUGGGCGACGACGUGUGGGCGUCGGUACUGUCGCAGUUCUCGCUGGAGUUCUACAAUACUUUGAUUGAACACCACGCGAGGACGCGUGAUAACGUCAGGAUGGCCGUGUCGGAGAACAGUUCGUGAACACACUUAAGACGACCGCUGCCAGCCCCUUUUCCAUGAAUCACUUCAAAAUCAAUUGGUUUAGUUUUAAGUUCUCACCAAAUUGUAAAGAUAGUGUGAUCGACACAUGUUAAGUACGUAAGACAAAAAACAGUUAAGGGCUGCGACCCUGCAAAGAGUGUGGUUUUUUUAGGGACGCUAUAGGACCCAGCCGAUACGAGGAAGGGUCAGACAGACAUUCCUUCAUAGGACACGGUUGCGCGAUCACGCUCUCAUCUCUUAAGACAAUCCUAAUUGUAAACUAGUGUAGUAUUAACAACUUUUGUAAAAGCUUACAUUACGUUAUUGACUGUUAUCAUUGCGAAUACAAUAUUGUAAUAAACAUGGACAAA